rnacentral:lncRNA from 12 species
AUGGCAGCUUGUAAGGAGAGUCUGUACGAGUGGAAGAGACAGUCUGGGUGUUCUGAGUGUUACCCGACGUGCCGCAGUUUCACAAAUGUUGCUGGAAGAGGUGAGACACCCGGGUUGGAGACGCAGGACCGUUUAUUACUCACAGUGAUAAUGACAGUAGCCAGAGAGUCAGCAUUUAUGAGCAAGUUCUCCGAGCCCCAAUUCUCACAGGGUGGCUGUGAGGAGAGUCAGAUGGCACCUGCCGAGGCAGAAGAGGAAUGCUCCUGUUUCGGAGAGAUCAGCAUAAUCUGACAGAGAGGCUGGCAUUGAUUGGAAGCCUGCUCCUGCUGGAUGCUGUCCUGAGCCCUCUCACAGACACAAGUCUGGGAUGCUUACCACAAACCUACGAGUAGAAUUCUUAUCCAUGUUUUACAGGUAAGGACACUGAGGCUUGGGAAGAGGACAUCACUUGCCUGAGGUGACACUGCUGUUAGGCAGCUGAGCUGCAACUCAAAUCUGGGCCCAUCUGACUCUAAUGUUUGUUUUAACCCAGGUGUUAUCCCCUAUUUUCUAGGCAUUUCCAAUUGAUCUGUCUUUCCGACACUGUUAGCGACAAUAUGGUAACUGAUGUGUGUUCUAACGAGCUGAAGGUUCCACAGAGAAUUUCUGGAGUUUAGUUCUCACCACAAAAUAUUAGUGAAGCAAAUGGUAGAAAUUUUCGCCAAACUCAAAUAGGGAUUAUUCUUUUUAUGUAUUUUUCUUGCACAUGGUUGAUUAACCAUUAAAACCAUUAUGUUAGUAUUGAAGAACCAAUGUAUUCUGGUUUCAAAUGUGCGGGGAAAAAUACAAUCUGCUAGGCAGGGAGCUCAGUGUAUCAUUAUACUGCAGAUUUCACCAUGGGUUAUUCUGAAUGGAAAUGAAGAUAUCUGGAAUCAUCAGCAAACUUUGGCUUUCUUACUAGAGCUCAACUGACCUUUUGGCGUAAGGUUAGCUAUUAUCAACACAGGAAGAAUGCCUCCAUCGUAUUCCUGUGUUUGCGAGCAUCAUGAAGCUUAAGGUUCUGGUUGCCAAGCACUUUGAAUUGAACAGGAGCCCAAUAAAUGCCAGGGAAUGAAUGACGAGGACUCA